ACUUGAGGAAAAUCUAUGGUCUGCGUUUGCCAGGAAAUCAAAAAUAAUUGUCAUAAUUGUCCUUUUGGUUCUGAAAAGCUAUGCAUCUAUACUAAGCAAAGAGACCAUAGCUGAUAGGAGCUUAGGGCUUUCCAGUGCCUUCCUUGUCUAGCACUGACUUGCAUGCAUAUGUCAUCAACAGCCAAGACUAGCACAGGUGUUCAUGCUCUCUGUUUACAAUCAUGGAGCCAUUUCCUAAUCAGCACAAUCUAGCCCACAGGAAAGGUUUUUGCUAUUAAAUGCCUGUCCUCCAUUUUGGAUUUGCUCUCACAGAUCCUGCUCCUAGGUGAAGAGAGCAGUUAGGCUCAGAUUUUGAGCAAGAUUGUUCAAGAAAGGGAGGUUUGAUACUGGGUUGUAGUAAGAAGUCUCUUGUGACCAGAGAAGACUUCUUCAUGGUGGCUGAACUGUGACUUAUUUUAGUUCCUCCUUUGAAUGAAGCAUUGAUCAAUUGAUCAUUUCAGCUACGGAGAGCCACAGCUGUCCAUAACUAAGGACCAGCCCAAAUCACAACUGUGCAUUUUUCGCAGAAAAUGCAAAAUCAGGUGGGCUCCAUGAAAAAUGGCAGCCCCCAUGAUUUUGGCAGGCUUGCUGGAAAAAAAUACAACCCCCAACUUACUGGCAAGCAGAGAAAAUGGCAGGAAGCCCUGCAGUCCUGAAGCACUGUGUAGGGGAGGGAGAAAAUCAGAGGUUGAGUCUGUGACAGGCUCAGUCCAGGAGCCAGUCUGAAGCCAGCAGAGAAGCGAGAGGGUUUUGGCGUCAGCUUUUAAAGCAGCCACAGGUAUUCUGGUACAGCAUGUGGCAGCCUGAGAAGGAUUCUUUAGGAUGAACACUGAGAAGAAAUUCUCCAAGACAACAAAAUACAUUUCAGUGCUGGACCGUGUAAAUCAGUAUUCGGCAGGGAUCUUGCACACAGAUGGAGCAGACUGUUCCGUAUCACCUGCAGCGUGACUCUGGAUGUGUUGAGGAAAAGAAGUAUAGCUUGACACUUAUAAUGCAAGGUUCACUGAAACAAAAAGCUGUUUCAGAGGCUGAAGGUCAAAGCAAAAAACAAGAACCAUGUCCUCACUUCUUAAAAGGAUCAUGGAAAGCAACUUGGCAAGGCAAGAGGUGUUUUCCCCCGUGGAAGCUUUCACAGCUAUCAGCAUCCCACUGGAGAUACUUGAUCGCCGGAAGUUAAAGGACUACCUGAACCAAAAUGUUGCAAAUGCUGGCAGUUUUCCAUAUGCCAGCAGACUUCUCCAAGACCUGCCUAUAUUUCAAACAGAGCCGGUCCACCUCACAGCUAACAAUUUUUUUACCAGGUCUCAAGCCACAGUGAAAGUAAGCAUCAACUAUGGCCUAUAAUUUGACAAGAUCUCAGCGUUCCCAUCAGACAAUGCUGUGUACAUGUGCAAGGCUUUUGCUGAUGUGCUCCAAGGGAUGCUGCCCAAUGCAGUUCAUGUCACCUGCAAUGCUCAUAUUCUGUCUUUAGUUAGUGACAUCUGCUGCACGCAGUAGAUAGCCUGGUGCCCUCCUUCAAGAAAGUCUUCAAGCAAUGUCCAGGCUGUAAGGUCCGGUACGGGGAGUCCAUCACCAGUCAAAGUGGGGACUCGCAUGGCACUGUGUUGCUGCCACCUGAGCCUGUGUUCACAAGGUGGAAUUCAUAGUGCAACAUGGUCUUUUACCACAAGGGUUGUCAACUGGGAAGGCCCCAGGGGGUGCACGGAGAAGCAGGAGGUGAGGCUGCCAGCACUUUGCACUGCUUGAGCCACUGAGCACCACGCAUCGCUGGUGCUUUUGUUUUCACUGCUGUGUGCUGUUGUCAGUUGGUUGCUGGGGGACCCUCUCCCCCCCACACCGGUUGUUGAUUGGCCACCUGCCCCCCGCUCAUCAAUCAGCUGUUGGGGGACUCUCCACUUCUUGACCAGCCACCAGGAAUACACCGACCAAAAAAGGUUGAAAAACCCUGUUUUACCACACCAAGAAUAUGCAGUGCUACCAGCAGUUUGUGAGCAAGGACAUGGAAAUCACACCCAGCACACAGUGAAUGCUUAAGCUUCACAAUUUCUUAAGAUGGGGCAAUAUUCAAGAUCAAGUGCUGUUUGUGGCUGGAUAUGCCACCUGGUUCAUGGAGCUUCUAAUGUGGUUUGAAGGGCAGCAGGCUAUGAUCCACCAUGCAUACGACAAACUGAUGGAUUUGAUAAAUUGGGUCAAAGACAUGGCAUCACAAGAACUGCCAAGCUGUCCUCUUGAAAACCAGCAGAGAGGAACUGUUCCAGACAAUAGCUGUGAAGCUGAACCAGUACUAUACAUACAAGCCACCGCUGUCACCGCAGUUUAGACAACCGACUGCCUCCUUACUUAGGGCUGUUCCCAUUCUGGACCCCAACCAGGUGCUUGUUCUGAGUUGUGACUCAAACCCUGGCUGGUGGAAAGAGCAUGACAAUGAAUGUGCUGCUCAUGUGAGCUUUGUCAAAGAGUGCUGGAUGCCUGUCUGUGUUCUGGGAUUCUCUCUGUGGCCAGUUUCCACAGUUCUACACCCUGGCAACAUAUUGACUCCCAUUCCAAUGAACUCAGUGGAUGCCGAGUGUGCCAUCUCAAGAUAUAGACAAGUGUUCACUCCACAGAGACAGGAAAUGUUUGUAGCUACUGCCACUAGAUGCAGCAUGCUAGCAUUUAAUAAGUAGCAAGAAUUGCCUGUCUCAAGGUUAGCUUUUAGUAAACUCCUUUUUACAAUGUCCUUUAAUAAAGUAUAUAUAGUUGGUAUUAGUUA